rnacentral:rRNA from 1 species
UACAGAGGUCUCAAGCGUUGUUCGGAAUCACUGGGCGUAAAGGGUUCGUAGGCGGUGCGGCAAGUUGGGAGUGAAAUCUCUGGGCUUAACUCAGGGGCUGCUUUCAAAACUGCCGCGCUCGAGUGCGAGAGAGGUCAGUGGAAUUGCAGGUGUAGCGGUGAAAUGCGUAGAUAUCUGCAGGAACACCCGUGGCGAAGGCGGCUGACUGGAUCGCAACUGACGCUGAGGAACGAAAGCUAGGGGAGCAAACAGG